CAGGCAAUAGCUACAGGCCCGAGUGAAGCAUUAGCACAGUGAACAAAAGCAGCACAUAUUUCUUCCUGGGAACCAGUGGCCAUGUACUGAAACCUCUGAAACUGUGAGACAAACUGUUCAAGGGAUUCCAUUAAACCUCUGAGAGCCGAAGAUGUCAAAUUCCUCUCAUAAAUAAUGGUGAAGAAGAAACCAAGGAAACAGCAGAGAAGACGCCAACGAGGGAUAUGAAAAUAUAAGCAGAGAUGAGGUUCAUGCAGCCACAAACCAGGUAAAGUGGAGAGCUGGCAGAAACCAAAAGAGAUGAGGAAGAACUGACUUCCAGGGCUUUUGGACAGAGUGCAGCCUUGUAAACACCUUGAUUUGGACUUCUGCACUCCAUAACUCUGAAAUAAUAAAAUUCUGUGUUUUAAGUCACCAAGUUUGCAGCAGUUGCGGCAGGUGUGGAAAAUUAAUACAAUGUAUUGCAAUUGUCAGUGAUGAAAGCGUGGA